rnacentral:rRNA from 1 species
ACCUCCCACCCGUGUUUACUGUACCUUAGUUGCUUCGGCGGGCCCGCCAUUCGUGGCCGCCGGGGGCUCUCAGCCCCGGGCCCGCGCCCGCCGGAGACACCACGAACUCUGUCUGAUCUAGUGAAGUCUGAGUUGAUUGUAUCGCAAUCAGUUAAAACUUUCAACAAUGGAUCUCUUGGUUCCGGCAUCGAUGAAGAACGCAGCGAAAUGCGAUAACUAGUGUGAAUUGCAGAAUUCCGUGAAUCAUCGAGUCUUUGAACGCACAUUGCGCCCCCUGGUAUUCCGGGGGGCAUGCCUGUCCGAGCGUCAUUGCUGCCCAUCAAGCACGGCUUGUGUGUUGGGUCGUCGUCCCCUCUCCGGGGGGGACGGGCCCCAAAGGCAGCGGCGGCACCGCGUCCGAUCCUCGAGCGUAUGGGGCUUUGUCACCCGCUCUGUAGGCCCGGCCGGCGCUUGCCGAACGCAAAUCAAUCUUUUUCCAGGUUGACCUCGGAUCAGGUAGGGAUACCCGCUGAACUUAAGCAUAUCAAUAAGCGGAGGAAAAGAAACCAACCGGGAUUGCCUCAGUAACGGCGAGUGAAGCGGCAAGAGCUCAAAUUUGAAAGCUGGCUCCUUCGGGGUCCGCAUUGUAAUUUGCAGAGGAUGCUUCGGGUGCGGCCCCUGUCUAAGUGCCCUGGAACGGGCCGUCAGAGAGGGUGAGAAUCCCGUCUGGGAUGGGGUGUCCGCGCCCGUGUGAAGCUCCUUCGACGAGUCGAGUUGUUUGGGGAAUGCAGCUCUAAAUGGGUGGUAAAUUUCAUCUAAAGCUAAAUACUGGCCGGAGACCCGAUAGCGCACAAGUAGAGUGAUCGAAAGAUGAAAAGCACUUUCGAAAAGAGUGUUUAAAAAGCACGUGAAAUUGUUGAAAGGGAAGCGCUUGCACCAGACUC